UACGUAGGGUGCAAGCGUUAAUCGGAAUUACUGGGCGUAAAGCGUGCGCAGGCGGUUCGCUAAGACAGAUGUGAAAUCCCCGGGCUUAACCUGGGAACUGCAUUUGUGACUGGCGGGCUAGAGUAUGGCAGAGGGGGGUAGAAUUCCACGUGUAGCAGUGAAAUGCGUAGAGAUGUGGAGGAAUACCGAUGGCGAAGGCAGCCCCCUGGGCCAGUACUGACGCUCAUGCACGAAAGCGUGGGGAGCAAACAGG
rnacentral:rRNA from 1 species